CCUACGGGAGGCAGCAGUGGGGAAUAUUGCACAAUGGGGGAAACCCUGAUGCAGCGACGCCGCGUGAAGGAAGAAGUAUCUCGGUAUGUAAACUUCUAUCAGCAGGGAAGAAAAUGACGGUACCUGACUAAGAAGCCCCGGCUAACUACGUGCCAGCAGCCGCGGUAAUACGUAGGGGGCAAGCGUUAUCCGGAUUUACUGGGUGUAAAGGGAGCGUAGACGGAUGGACAAGUCUGAUGUGAAAGGCUGGGGCUCAACCCCGGGACUGCAUUGGAAACUGCCCGUCUUGAGUGCCGGAGAGGUAAGCGGAAUUCCUAGUGUAGCGGUGAAAUGCGUAGAUAUUAGGAGGAACACCAGUGGCGAAGGCGGCUUACUGGACGGUAACUGACGUUGAGGCUCGAAAGCGUGGGGAGCAAACAGGAUUAGAUACCCUGGUAGUCCACGCGGUAAACGAUGAAUGCUAGGUGUCGGGGAGCAAAGCUCUUCGGUGCCGCCGCAAACGCAUUAAGCAUUCCACCUGGGGAGUACGUUCGCAAGAAUGAAACUCAAAUGAAUUGACGG
rnacentral:rRNA from 1 species